rnacentral:misc_RNA from 1 species
AUGAGYAGSUUUUGACCCGUGUMUGCCGGUAGAUCCCCCGACUUGUACUGCGGCCGACUACCGGCGCCGUGUCCCGUCCCUCGUGUGGCUUCGAAUGGCUGGAUUAAGAGUGCUUGCGUGCUAGUACCCGACCUACGGGAAGUGGUGCUUCGGAUAAUUGUUGCCUCGCGGCGGACGCCCUUUGGGUGUGCCGCUGCGGCCAAAUAGCGCUUGCGGCAUUGCCUCGUGGCGCUGGCACGUUACGUGCCCGCUGCUAUCARGGCAACCUCGCUCCCGCUUUUGGUCUCGGAUGCUGCUGACGAUAAAGGGUCGUGGCCCUUUCGGUUGCCUCGACCCGACCMAAAGCUCUCCGAAUUGAGAACAACCGGAACAGGAGUUGCCUCUACCUCUCCACAGUUACGUGGUAGGAUACGCGACUCUCUGCGCCGAUCCUCAAGRAGGAUGAGCAAUGCCGCUCAAGAGCGACAACCGGCCCGGCUGUUGCCUUUGAGUUUCCAUGAAAGUGGAAGCGCAAGACGAUGGUCGUGCUGGGCGUCACCAAGGAYRYGCU